CAGUUAAAAAGCUCGUAGUUGGAUUUCUGUGGGGACGGAGCGGCCGGCCGCACAUCGCGGUUCGAGCUAGCGCUUUCCCUACAUCCUGCCGCGAACCGUGCUACCAUUAGUUUGGUGGCGCUGGGGAUCGGCUCGAUUACUUUGAGAAAAAUAGAGUGUUCAAAGCAGGCCACACGCCUUGAAUAAGUUAGCAUGGAAUAAUAACUAAGGACUUCGGUUCUAUAUUGUUGGUGUUCGGGACUGAAGUAAUGAUUGAUAGGGACAGUUGGGGCGGUCAGUAUUCCAAAGCGAGAGGUGAAAUUCUUAGACCUUCGGAAGACUAACAGCUGCGAAAGCGUUCCGCAAGGAUGUUCCCUUUGAUCAAGAACGAAAGUUGGGGGAUCGAAGACGAUCAGAUACCGUCGUAGUCUCAACUAUAAACUAUACCAGCUAGGGAUCGGCCAACGUUAUUUUAUACCGACUUGGUCGGCACCUUAUGAGAAAUCAAAGCAUCUGGGUUCCGGGGGGAGUAUGGUCGCAAGGCUGAAACUUAAAGGA
rnacentral:rRNA from 1 species